rnacentral:rRNA from 1 species
AUUGAACGCUGGCGGCAGGCCUAACACAUGCAAGUCGAACGAGUGGCGGACGGGUGAGUAAUGUCUGGGAAACUGCCUGCUGGAGGGGAAUAACUACUGGAAACGGUAGCUAAUACCGCAUACCAUCGGGUCUGCCCAGAUUGGAUUAGCUAGUAGGUUGGGUAAAGUCUCACCUAGGCGACCAUCCCUAGCUGGUCUGAGAGGAUGACCAGCCACACUGGAACUGAGACACGGUCCAGACUCCGACGGGAGGCAGCAGUGGGGAAUAUUGCACAAUGGGCGAAAGCCUGAUGCAGCCAUGCCGCGUGUAUGAAGAAGGCCUUCGGGUUGUAAAGUACUUUCAGCGGGGAGGCGUUACCCGCAGAAGAAGCACCGGCUAACUCCGUGCCAGCAGCCGCGGUAAUUC